CUAGGUCAAAUAUUUGGCAAAUCAUAUCUGAAAGAAGCACUGGCUGUUUAUAAUUAUGAACCAAAAGGAAACUCUGAUAUUCAACUUGUCAGAAAUAACAAAUAUUAUAUUCUGAAAGAUGAGGACUCUGACUGGUGGCAAGUAAGAGAUUUGGAAGGUAAUGAAGGCUUUGCUCCACAUGCAUAUCUGAAGGUGAUAUCCCAGACCACAGAUGAAUCAAGAGGAAGCACUGAGACAGAUGAAGUGGUACCAGCCAAAGAGGAAGAAAACUUUGCCAAAUAUGAGUG